rnacentral:lncRNA from 1 species
GUUAGUUUCAUUAUACAAUAUCCAAAGAAAUGGGCUAACAUCGGCAAUAAUAUAAAGUAAGGCGGGGGACUAGACUCUUAUAAUGGGCUGGCAAGCAUCAGGCCCAUUUAAAUCAACUAGCAAUAGGUUUCAACAACAGUAAUGCGGCGAGGAGAGUGGUAGCCCGGUUCAUUGAACUUGGUCCAGAGUUCACAAUGAACUCCACUGGUCGAGUGUGCUCAUGCAAAAGGAGAAGAGGAUUAAUUAGUAUGUGCAUAUAGAAUGUAAAAGCAGAAACAUAAGAGAUGAAUAAAAUUAUAAUCUAAAGUAACAAAGCAAGUCAAAUAAUAUUUGUGAUAAACCUCUAGAUAUUAGUUUAAGUCAAUAUCCAUUGUCUAGAUUGGACCACGCUCCCCUCUCAAGGUUUUUCUUUGACUCCUGGCACUUUCUAGUUCACAAAAGGCCCACAAUAUUUAUUCCAGGGAGGGACUCCUUGUAGUAGAGUCAAAUCCACAGCAAAGGCCAAUAGUAACUAAUAUUUGUUCCUCCGUGAAGGUUUGAACACAAAUAUCAACUUUGAGCUUCAAACAAUAGUUUGACCAAAUAGACUCAAAGAAUUCUUACAAGUAAACUUCUAAAACAUUGAGAGUCUAGCACAGUGCCUCAAAUCAUCAAUAGAAAAUCACUUGUGACUGAGUACCAAGACAUUAGAAACUUGAAAUCUAAAUGAACCUAAACCAGCUUUAGGGCAGUUGUAAGGCUCCGUAAAAAUUUACAAAAGAAAAUAAUAUUUUGGGUUGAACAAUGCACUGGAAAGGAAAGAAAAAAUUUGGGCAGAAGAAAUGCACUUCUGCGGCCCACUAUGCGAUCGCGGAAUCACUCUGCGGACCGCAUAAUGGUCGCAGAGUGAGGCAGGGAAGGGCAAUUUUGGAGACCAGGUUUGCAGCGCAUUAUGCAACCACAGACCAAUUCUGCGGUGCAUUAUUCGACCGCAGAACAGGUCUGCGAGCCGCAUAAUUACCGCAGACCAGGUCAGUCACGCCCAGUUUUGGAGGCAAAACUAUGCGGACCGCAUAUCAAUUAUGCGAUCGCAGACCUUGUUCCGUAGCUUCAUUUUUGUAUUUUUAAAACCCGACCCUACUUCGUUAAAUACACGCUUUGGGCUAUUUUUGAGAUAAAAUCUGACACUUUUAAAGUUAGAGAGUGCCCUAGAGUGAGAAGGUGUUCUUCAACAGUUUGUUUUUCAAUUCUUGCUCGAAUCUUGGAAGAUUAACAAGGAAAAACUCCCUAGGUCUUCAUCCUAAAGGUAAUAUUCUACACCCUAACCCUCAAUUUCGAAUUUUAUCUAGAAUUUGGUUAUUAGCAAGAUAAUUUUGGGCUUGGGAGUUGUCCAUCUUACAUGUAUGUAUUAUCAAAGGGUGUAGGAAGAUUGUGAAGCUAAAAACGGUAAAUAAUGGGUUGUGGUAUGAUAGAAUCCUCUAUAAAAGGACCUUGAAACCUUAAUGCACACCUAGUGUUUUAUAAACUACUCAAAUGAGCUAGAAACAAGAUCAUCUUCCUAUUUUUUGAUCAAUUUGUUAUAUUUCUACAUUAGAUUAAAGUUUCAAAGAAUUACGGAACCUUUUAGAGUUUAAGGAAGUUCAACUGAGGUAUGUUGACUAAACCUUUCUCUUAGAAUUGAAUCCCACGAUAUUCAUGUAAUCUAUGUAAGUCCCGAGUGGUUCAUUAUGAAAUUGGCUAUUCCUAGUAAGAUUGUGUUAAAAGUUAUAUGUUUAAUAAGUACCCCAAAUACCUUAUUUAUGGUACGUUAUCAAUUGAGGAUGUGAUAAUAAUAUUAGCUGGACAUUAAAAAUGUUCGACUUGAAGUCAAAUUCAAACGAAGGCUAUUAUGCCAAAUUUUGUGAAGAAUCUCUAUUUGCCUUAGACUCUUAAUUGCUCACAUGUGUACUACAUGCCUUUAUUUGGAUUGUUGUUUUUGUUAUUGAUGAUGUUGAUGUUAGAAAGUGAAAAGGUGAGCAUGGAAUACUAAAUGCGGCCAACGUGCCAAGAAUGAUUUUAUAAAUAUGGCCAUUAGUGCCAAUGAAAUGAAAAUAUGUGAAAGAACUAUGAAAUGCGAUGAUUGAUAUAAAAAGGUUGAUGUCUCGAAUAAGACAGCCUAGACGAUCAGGUCGUGAUCGGACACCAUGACGCACACAUGGUGAUGAUUGUGCUUGAAAUUCUGAUUUGUGGUCGAUGUCUCCAAUGAGAUAGCCUAGCCGAUCGGGUCGUCAUCAGAUUCCGUGUUAAAGGUACGAUGGUAUUGAUAUUGAGGGUGAUUGUGGUUGAUGUCUCGAAUGAGAUAGCCUAGCCGAUCGGGUCGUGAUGGGACUCCGUGCUAAGAGUACAAUGUUAUUGGUUUUGUGAAUAAUGGUAUUGUGAACGAUGAUAUAUUUGUACUAAGAAUCUCCAACUUAAAAAAAUAUGGAAAUUAAUUUGAAUACAGUCUUGAUCCUAAGUUGAGGUUUGAUGCUUUUUAAGGCUUCCAUUGAUAUUAUGAUAUUCUUAUUUGUUUUAUUUAUCAUUCUAUUCAGAGGGUGUUUUGUCAUUCAUACUAGUACUAUUCCAUAUGUACUAAUGUCCCUUUUUCCGAUGGUGCUGCAUCUUCAAUGGAUGCAGGUGGUUCCACAUCUAGUGAUAUUGAUCAGUGAUAGCGGUACAUCCUCUUCCCAGCUGACUUGGUGAGCCCCACUUCAUUUCGGGGUUAUGUAUCUUUUGUUCGUCGCGUAUUGUGUUUGAGGUAUAGCCGGGCCUUGUUGCCGACAUUAUCAUAGUACUCUUUUGUAUAUAUCAAAGGCUCCGUAGACUGUGAGUUGUGUACUGGUGUUGGGAAAGUCAAACUAUAUGGUGUUGUGGUUGUAUUACUUGUUCUAUUUAAGAAUUUAAAAUAAUGGAACUAUUGGUAAUAAAUUGGUAUUGUAGACAUGAGCAUCUUAUUGUCUAAUUAACAAAAAUGUGCAUCCUAUUUAUUAAUGGAUGAGUUUGCUCGGCCGGGUUCACUCGGUUGAGCGUCGGUCGCGCUCUAUAGUUUUGAGGCGUGACAAACUUGGCAUCGGAGCCUAAUGUUUUAAAGUGUCCUAGGAUAUCUUGGAGCCGUGUCUAGUAGAGUCUUUCUUAUCGGUAUGUUGUCGACCACAUCUAUAAUUAGGAUGAUACUUGGGGAUUUACGAAUAAUACCCUUCUUUCAUUUUCUUGAUCGUGCGAUAAACCUGGAUGUAAGAUUGUUCCUAUUUUAACUCGAGCUUUACUUUAACUUUCUAUAUAUUGCACCUAAGAAGAAGGCAAGAAUUGGCCAAAGAGCCAAUGUCACCCUAGGAGUAACAGUUGAUUCUAUAUAUGGUGAUGCGGGUGAGAAGCCAAGGAGUGAGAAUAUUCCUCCAGUUACUACACUACAUGAUUCUACUACAAGUGAUCAGACCGCACCUAUCCCUACACCUACUAAGGGUACAACGGUCCCUCUAACUGAUAUACCAAUUCCACCUCCAGUUCCAGCUUCUGAUUCUGGUGUUUCUGAUGUUGAUCUUCCAGGAGCCAUACAUAUGUUGUCUCUGAUAGUGGCUGCCCAAGCCUAGAGAUCAAAUGUUACACCUACUUCUUCCAGUCAACCAGGGGAUUCUACUAGUUCAAGGGUGAACAAGUUUCUCCAGUUGGAUCCUCCAAUGUUCGCGGGUACUAACCCAGAGGAGGAUCCAUAGGACUUCAUUGAUGAGACGCACAAGACUCUCUGAGUUAUGCAUGCUAUUGAGAUAGAUGAAUUGGAAUUAUCCUCCUACUACCUUAAAGAGGUGGCAUAUUCUUGGUUUGAACUAUGGGUGGAGUCCCGUGAAGAAGGGAACCCUCCGACGAGGUGGGGUGAGUUUGCCAAUGCAUUCAUUGAUCAUUUAUUUCCUACCAAGACUAAGGCAACAUGUGCUGCUGUGUUUGAGAACCUGAGGCACGAUUGCCUGAGUGUGUGGGAUUACCACAUAAGAUUCCGGUACCUAUCCAAGUAUGCUAUUUACAUGUUUCCUACUAUGGAGGCUAGAGUGCGACGAUUUGUUCACAGCCUUAGUCCCUUAGUAAUUAAUGAGGCCACUACAACUGCCUUGAAUUAUAAUAUGAACUAUGGAAAGAUGGUGGCAUUCGCUCAAGCCACCGAGAUCUGCAAAUUGAGGAACAUAAUGGAGACAGAGUGUAGUAAUCAGGCCUGGUUUGCGGGAAACUUUGGUGGUUCUUCUGGUGGCGGAAGGUCAGCCUUUAGGGGAGGGUCAUCAGCGCCAUCACAGUACCUUGCUCAGUCUUAGGCUAGUGCACUUCCAUAAGGGCCCAGUCAACAGCAGGGUCAUCAUGGUGGUAGUUUCCAGCAGCAGAGGAGGCCCUCGUGCCCUAGGAAUAGAAAGAUGCACCUAGUAAUAUUCUACAUGGACUUACCCAUAUGCUACAUAUGCAGAUUGAGGGGUCACAUUCAUAGGAAUUAUCGUUCGUCCCGCCAUGGGGCAGGCAGGGGCACUGCACAUCCAGCCAGUUCUGCAGCUACUACAUCCGUAAUACCUCCUCCAACUCAAGGCACUCAAAUACCUGCUGGGCUUGGUGGAGCUAGGGGUGGGGCACAAAGUUGGGGAGGAUCUGACCAUUUCUUUGCUAUAAGGGGUCGCCAGAAUUCAGAGGCUUCUCCAGAUGUGGUGAUAGGUAUAUUGACUGUCCAAUCUCAGAUGUGUAUGAUCUUAUUGAUCUAGGUUAUACUUUUUCAUAUGUCACACCUUAUGUUACUAUGGAAUUUGGGAUAGAACAGGAACAACUUCAAGAGUCAUUAUAUGCAUCUACUCCGGUUGGUGAGUUUAAUUUGGCCGCACAAGUUUAUAGGGAUUGUAUUAUCACGUUGCGUUGUCGGGACACCGUAGUUGAUCUUAUUGAAUUGAGAAUGGUCUAUUUUUAUGUGAUAAUGGGAAUGGAUUGGAUUUAUUCAUGUUUGACCAAACUUGAUUUCCGAAACAAAACUGUUAGGUUCAAAUUUCCAAAUGAGCCAGUUAUUGAAUGGAAGGGUGAUGAUGUAGUGUUGAAGGGUAGGUUUAUUUCUUACCUUAAGGCCACGAAAAGGAUCAACAAGGGGUGUAUUUACCAUUUGGUUUGGGUUUUGGACACCGAUUUUGAGGCACCUACACUUAAGUCAGUUCUUAUUGUGAAUGAAUUUUUGCAAGUCUUUCCGGAUAAACUCCAUGAAAUCCCACCUGACAGUGAGAUUGAUUUUGGGAUUGACGUGAUGCCAGACAUGCAUCCUAUAUCUAUUCCACCCUACCGAAUGGCACCAUUAAAAUUUAAGGAGCUAAAUGAACAAUUAAGAGACUUGUUAGAAAAGGGUUUCAUCCGACCGAGUGUGUCACCUUGGGGCGCACUGAUGAUUUCUGUAAGGAAGAAAGAUUUGUCACUGAGAAUGUGUAUUGGUUAUCAAUAACUUAAGAAGGUCACAAUCAAGAAUAAGUACUCACUGCCAAGGAUAAAUGACUUGUUUGACCAAUUACAAGGUGAUAAGUACUUGUCCAAAAUUGAUUUACGAUCCAGAUAUCAUCAAUUGAAGACCAGAGAGACACAUGUUCCGAAAAUGGCUUUUAGAACCAGGUAUGGGCAUUUUGAAUUUUUGGUGAUGUCUUUUGGGCUAACAAAUGCCCCAGUGGCAUUUAUGGAUCUUAUGAAUCGGGUAUUCAAACCUUUCCUCAACUCCUUCAUGAUAGUGUUCAUUGAUGAUAUUCUUGUUUGUUCGCGGAGUCAAGAGGACCAUGCCGAUCAUAUCAUGGUAGUUUUGUAGACUCUGUAUCAGCAGUUUUGAAAUGUGAAUUUUGGCUUGAAUUUGUUAUAUUAUUGGGUCAUGUUGUCUUUAGAGAAGGAAUUAUUGUUGUUCCUCAAAAUAUUGCAGUUGUGAAGAAUUGGCCGAGGCUUACAACUCCAACAGAGAUUCGCAGUUUCUUAGGCUUAGCUGGGUAUUACAGAAAAUUUAUGGAGGGUUUUUCUAUCCUUACCUCUCCGUUGACUAAAUUGACGCAGAAGGUAAUUAAGUUCCAAUGGUCAGAUGCUUGUGAAAGGAGCUUCGAGGAGUUGAAAUUGAGAUUGACUAUGGCACCAGUGUUGGAUCUACUAGACGAUAUUGAUGGAUUUGUAGUAAAUUGUGAUGCUUCGAGAAUCAGACUUGGGUGUGUAUUAUUGCAACACGACAAGGUGAUAGCUUAUGCUUCCAGGCAACUCAAGAAUCAUGAAAAGAACUAUCCAGCACAUGACUUAGAACUUGUGGCGGUAGUAUUUGUAUUGAAAAUUUUGCUUCAUUAUUUAUAGGGGGUCCAUGUGGAUAUAUUCACGGACCAUAAGAUCCUUCAAUAUAUUGUCAAGCAGAAGGAAUUGAAUUUGAGGCAAUGAAUAUGGCUUGAGUUACAUAAGGACUAUGACAUUGAUAUUCUAUAUCAUCCGAGGAAGGCUAAUGUUGUGGCAGAUACUCUUAGCUAGAAUUCUAUGGGUAGUUUAGCACACUUGGAGGUAUAUCAACGGUCAUUGGCCGAGGAAGUUUACCGAUUGGAUAGUUUGGGGGUUAGUCUUGCGGACUCUAGUGAAGGAGGGGUAAUUGUGCAAAAUAGGGCUGAAUCAUCGCUUGUUGUGGAAGUCAAAGAGAAGAAAUACAACGAUCCAUUAUUGGUGCAAUUGAAAGAGGUGAUUCAUAAACAUAAGACCAUGGCCUUUUCUCUUGGCAUGGGUCAUGGUACACUAAGAUACCAAGGGAGUCUAUGUGUUCCAAAUAUAGAUGGUCUCCGAGAGAAAAUCAUGAUAGAGGCUCACACUUCUAGGUAUUCUAUGCAUCCGGGUUCUACAAAUAUGUAUCAUGAUCUUAAAGAAGUCUAUUGGUGGAAUGAUAUGAANNNNNNNNNNNNNNNNNNNNNNNNNAAGAAGAUGAUUGUGUGUUCUUGAAUGUUUUACCCAUGAAAGAUAUAAUGUGAUUUGGUAAGAAAGGGAAAUUGAGUCCGAGGUAUGCCAGGCCGUACAGAAUCAUUCAGAGGAUCGGUGAGGUAGUGUACAAGCUUGAGCUACCACCGGAUAUAUCAUUGGUACACCCGGUGUUUCAUGUGUCUAUGUUGAAGAAAGUAAUUGGAGUCCCAACACUCAUUGUUCCGGUUGAGACUAUGGAUAUUAAUGAGGAAUUAACUUAUGAAGCGAUUCGAGUUUAUAUUAUUGAUAGGCAAGUCCAUAAGUUGAGAAAUAAGGAAAUUACCUCGGUGAAUGUGAUAUGGAGAAACCACCAAGUUGAAAAGGCUACUUGGGAGGCCGAGGAAGAAAUGAAGAAAAAGUAUACUUAUUUGUUUGAAUAGACAUGUAUUUAUAAUCUUGUGAUCUAUGAAAAUUCUAAGAGUUACUUUCUAUGAAUUAUGUAUCAUUUGUACAAAUUGACGUUAAGGGUGUUCCUUUUUGGUAAUAUAUUGCUUGUGAGGCCACAAUUGGUGUUGUUUUGUGUUAUGUUACAUCGUUGGAUUCUGUAUAUGUUGUUAGGAUGUGUUUUGGGAUUAUUUGACAUGUGGAUAGGCCCAGUUACAGGGGAGACUCUAGCGAAUGUUUUGGAAAUUUAGGGAGUUAGCCAAAUUUUGAAACUACUGGUGAGCGUGAAUUAACAGUUAGGCCACAUUUGAUGCUAAUAAUAGAUUGUGACCCUCAUUCGAUGACAAAUGAUCCUAAGUGGGGGAGAAUGUAAGGCCCCGUAAAAAUUUGAAAAAGAAAAUAAUAUUUUAUGGGGCUGGACUAGGCUUACGUGUUUGAGGAUUGUAGAGGAAAAAUGCACUGGAAAGUAAAGGAAAUAUUUGGGCAGAAGAAAUGCACUUCUGCAUGCGGCAGUGAUGGGCAAUUAUGAGACCAGGUUUGCAGUGCAUUAUGCGACUGCACACCAAUUCUGCGGUGCAUUAUGCGACUGCAGAACAGGUCUGCGGACCACAUAAUGACCGCAGACCAGGUCAGUCAUGCCUAGUUUUGGAUGCCAAAUUAUGCGGCCGAUAGGCGAACCGCAUAUCAAUAUUGCGAUCCCAUAUGCGAUCACAAACCUUGUUCCGUAGCUUCAUUUUUGUAUUUUUAAAACCCGACCCUACUUCGUUAAAUACACGCUUUGGGCUAUUUUUGAGAAAAAAUCUGACACUUUUAAAGUUAGAGAGUGCCCUAGAGUGAGAAGGUGUUCUUCAACAGUUUGUUUUUCAAUUCUUGCUCGAAUCUUGGAAGAUUAACAAGGAAAAACUCCCUAGGUCUUCAUCCUAAAGGUAAUAUUCUACACCCUAACCCUCAAUUUCGAAUUUUGUCUAGAAUUUGGUUAUUAGCAAGAUAAUUUUGGGCUUGGGAGUUGUCCAUCUUACAUGUAUGUAUUAUCAAAGGGUGUAGGAAGAUUGUGAAGCUAAAAACGGUAAACAAUGGGUUGUGGUAUGAUAGAAUCCUCUAUAAAAGGACCUUGAAACCUUAAUGCACACCUAGUGUUUUAUAAACUACUCAAAUGAGCUAGAAACAAGAUCAUCUUCCUAUUUUUUGAUCAAUUUGUUAUAUUUCUACAUUAGAUUAAAGUUUCAAAGAAUUACGGAACCUUUUAGAGUUUAAGGAAGUUCAACUGAGGUAUGUUGACUAAACCUUUCUCUUAGAAUUGAAUCCCACGAUAUUCAUGUAAUCUAUGUAAGUCCCGAGUGGUUCAUUAUGAAAUUGGCUAUUCCUAGUAAGAUUGUGUUAAAAGUUAUAUGUUUAAUAAGUACCCCAAAUACCUUAUUUAUGGUACGUUAUCAAUUGAGGAUAUGAUAAUAAUAUUAGCUGGACAUUAAAAAUGUUCGACUUGAAGUCAAAUUCAAACGAAGGCUAUUAUGCCAAAUUUUGUGAAGAAUCUCUAUUUGCCUUAGACUCUUAAUUGCUCACAUGUGUACUACAUGCCUUUAUUUGGAUUGUUGUUUUUGUUAUUGAUGAUGUUGAUGUUAGAAAGUGAAAAGGUGAGCAUGGAAUACUAAAUGCGGCCAACGUGCCAUGAAUGAUUUUAUAAAUAUGGCCAUUAGUGCCAAUGAAAUGAAAAUAUGUGAAAGAACUAUGAAAUGCGAUGAUUGAUAUAAAAAGGUUGAUGUCUCGAAUAAGACAGCCUAGCCGAUCAGGUCGUGAUCGAAUACCAUGCCGCACACAUGGUGGUGAUUGUCUUGAAAUUAUGAUUUGUGGUCGUGUAUCCAAUGAGAUAGCCUAGCCUAGUCAAUCGGAUCGUGAUCAGAUUCCAUGUUAAAUGUAUGGUGCUAUUGAUAUUGAGGGUGAUUGUGGUUGAUGUCUUUAAUGCUAUAUCCUAGUCGAUCGGAUCAUGAUCGGACUCCGUGCUUUGAGUACAGUGGUAUUGUUAUUGUGAAUAAUUGUAUUUGAACGAUGGUAUAUCAAUAAUAAGAAUCUUCAACUUAAAAAUAUGGAAAUUAAUUUGAAUACUAUCUUGAUCCUAAAAUUGAGGUUUGAUGUUGUUUAAGGCUUCGAUUGAUAUUAUGAUAUUCUUGUUUGUUUUAUUUAUCAUUCUAUUGAGAGGGUAUUUUGUCAGUCAUACUAGUACUAUUCCAUAUGUACUAACGUCCUUUUUGAAGGGGCAGCUGCCUCUUCAAUAGAUGCAGGUGGUUCCACAGCAGGAGAUAUUGAUUAGUGCUAGUGGUACGUCCUCUUCCCAGCUGAGUUGGUGAGCCCCACUUCAUUUCGGGAUUAUGUAUCUUUUGUUCCCCACGUAUUGUUUUUGAGGUAUAGCCGAGGCCUUGUUGCCGCCAUUAUCAUAGUACUCUUUUGUAUCUAUUAGAGACCCCAUAGACAUAGUGUGAGUUGUGUAUUGGUGUUGGAAAAGUCAAACUAUGUGGUGUUGUGGUUGUAUUACUUGGUCUAUUUAAGAAUUUAAAAUGAUGGAACUAUUGGUAAUAAAUUGGUAUUGUAGACAUGAACAUCUUAUUGUCUAAUUAACAAAAAUGUGUAUCCUAUUUAUUCAUGGAUGAGUUUGGAUAGAAGAAAAUCUAAUAGGCUUGGUCUGUCGGGUUCACGCGGUUGAUCGCCGGUCGCGCUCCCCGAUUUUGGCGCGUGAUAGCAGUCACUUAGAAAGCUAAAAAAUACAUAAAUCAGAAGAAUGAUAAAACUUCACAGCAUAUCCAGUAGUCUAGGCUAAGUAUUGUAAAGCUUACAAUUAGUUUCACAUGAAUCAUGCUACGGAGAAUAAGGAAAUGCUAAUAGAACAAGACAUGGUGAACUUCAUCAGAUUGUUUUUCACUUAAACAAAUAAAACCUUAUAGGUAUAGUAUCUAUAGAAACAAGACAAUCUUGUGACAAUAUGGAAUACCAUAUAUAGCUAAUAUAAACAAAGCAAACAAGUGAGUUUAAAUCAACAGAGGUUUAACAAAAACAGAACAAGACUAGUGUUAACGUCAUGAACUAUAACAUUGUAAGUAGACAAAUCUCAUAACAUGCUUCAUAUCCUAUUCAUGAUACAAGGUAUGAAAACACGAAUGUCAACAUGAACUUUCAUCAGUAUAUAUCCAAAUGGUCGAGUAUUAAAAAACACUAUCAGUGUCACACACUCAAAUUCAGACAUUGAGCUGAACGAAAAGGAAUUAAAAUAACCAUCCUUAGGACAACUUACCAGUUUUUUAUUUUUCCGUUAAGGAUUUGUACCCGGAGUCAGCUCAAGAACAAUUAGCCUCGAUUAGAAAUUAAAGAAAAAAAGGAUGGAAAGAUUGUGAGCGGAUAGAAAUUUUAAUUUUCUCGUGUAGUGAAUUUACUCUAUUGAUUUGUGUGUUUGUUAAGGGCAUUAAAGCUUGGUAUUUAUAGCCAAGUAAUUAGUGUUUUAGGGUUUGAGAUUUUGAACUUUUAUGACUAAUUAGUGACGAACUUUGACGAAACAUUUCAUGACGAAAUCUUCAGAAUAAAAUGAAUAAUCAGAGGGAAUAAUAUGUGAAGAUUUUACCCUCUAAAGAUGAUGAAGAACUAGCCGUUUGAAGUCGUUUAACCUCCGUACAAAAAUUUUCCUAGAGGUCCUUGCGUUUGACCUCCAUACCAUCAGAUGUCAUACAGAGGUCAUGAGAUUCCUCCGAAUCUUCUUGAAUCGAAGAUGCAUGCAAGGUUUUAUUGAGGGAUCAGGCGUGAAUGAAAGUUUGAUGAUGAGAUUCUUAGGGUUUAUUUUUUGGGGAUAGUGUUUAGGUGUUUGGAAUUUGAAGGGAGAUGAUAGAAAGGGGAAUGUUUUGGUAGUGAUCUCAUAGUGACCUUGCACGGAUUUAUGCUAGGGUUCAGGUAUUUCCAGAGGUGUGAGAGGAUGAGAGAGAUGAGAGAAAAAGGUUAAGGGGCGGC